rnacentral:lncRNA from 1 species
AAGGUGGGAGUAGGUGUUUAGCACCAUCUGCCUUCGUUUGAUGAAUCUGGCUGAGCUUUUCAGCUGCUGCUUUCAGAGGGAAAAGCUGUGCUCUCUAAAGAAAAGAGGGACAGAAUUCUUCACUGUUGCUUUUGAAGUAGUCCUGCCUAGAUAUGGGCCGAGGAUCUUCUCAUCGAUGGCUUGUAAAAAUUUCAAGCAAUUAGCAAACUGUCUUCCAGCUGAUGAGGAAUAUGUGACCAACGACAUGACUGACCUGAGGAACCGCCUUAAAAGAGAACUUUCCCAGACUGGUGUAAUGAUUACUAUAAAACUGCCAUUAUUGGAGAUGCAUUCUUUUAGCGUCAACCACAGCUCACCAUGCAGUGUGUUUUCAAAGUGCGAAAUACUGAUGGGGAUACACACUGCUUUAGACACUCUGGCUUCAGUGUGAUUUAACUGAGUGGUGUAGGGACUCCGGGCCCUAUGACAGCUCUGGGUGAGGAUGGGUGGGGAAGGAAAACAGAGGUUAAAAGCAAGGGGCAACAUUUCAAGAGAGGAGAAGACACCUGAGUUAACGGUGUCACCUGCAGAGGGCAGUCCUGGGAAAGUGGUUCUUGUCUGGUUCUGAUGCAACACGAGAGCAUGAGCAGACUCAGUGCCAGGAACCUCCUGUGUAUCUAGGGAAAGGCUCAGGGGACAGAGGUCUGUGUUUAAUGCAGGUUGCCAUUUCAUUAAUAUGACCACCAUGCAUUCGAUAGUCAUCCGUACUUUCCAGGGUGCCUCCUCAUAGGAGGGGGAUGCAGUAGAAUGGAGCAAGGGGGAGAGUAGGGACAGCCAAUUGCAGGGAGGACGAUGCUGUCUAGCUCAGGGAAGUUCACUGGUUUUCCUGACAUCAUAAGGUCAGAGCUGGUGUACUGACCACCUGGGUGGAUUCCCAGGAGAUUAAGGUUGCAACCGGUGGUGGUGUUGGUGGUGGACAGGUCUGUAAACUCUCUGACAUGGUGUUUACAGCUAAUGUUUUGCAUGUGCACACAUGCAUUUUUAUUGCAGAGAAUUUCACCAUAUUCCCCGGGUGCUCCUCAAACCACAAGGGUUGAAGACCUGCCGGCUGUUCAGUGUGUUGCUGGCGUGGUACUGGAAAAAAUCCACAACCUUUCUGGGGAGAGAUUGGGGUCCACAAGUGAAGCGGGGAGCCCAGGCUGGCAGGCACAGGACCUCAGAGUCCCUCUGCUCCCAACUUUGCUCGAAGGACCUACAAAGGCCAACGGCUGGCCACCGCAAAAUGUGCCCUUUUGGCAUAUUGAUUAUUUUAAAUGAAAGUCACCUAAGACACAGCCAUUGCAAGAAUACUCAGACCCCACGUUUGUCCCCCUGAAAGCAGGAAACAAAUCUUCCAUAUGGAAAACACCCUCCCUGCACUAAGAAGACAUCCUUAUCACCAAGAAAGCUGU